rnacentral:tRNA from 1 species
GGGGAUUUAGCUUAGCGGCAUAAGCGCCUGCCUUGCAAGCUGGCAGUUGUGAGUUCAAUCCCCG